UGAAUGACGUGUGGGAGACGGCGGGAAUAGGUAGGGCUGAGGUGGGGUCGGGCUUUAGUUGUGCGAAAGAGCUCGUAUGCGGUGUGUGGCGUCGGAUGUUAAAACCCAAUGGCUUAAGCUUGGGCCGGCAUUCGUGACGGGCAAACUAGGGUGUGGUAGGGGAGACUGGAACUCCUGGUGUAGCGGUGGAAUGCGCAGAUAUCAGGAAGAACACCGAUGGCGAAGGCAGGUCUCUGGGCCAUAACUGACGCUGAGGAGCGAAAGCGUGGGGAGCGAACAGGAUUAGAUACCCCUGUAGUC
rnacentral:rRNA from 1 species